CAGUUGAACGGAGCACUUUGGGUUUACUCAGGGUGCUUAGUAGCGGACGGGUGAGUAACGCGUGAGCAACCAACCUUUGUGAGGGGGACAACAGCUGGAAACGGCUGCUAAUACCGCAUAAGACCACAGUCUCGAGUGAGACAGGGGUCAAAGAUUUAUCGCACAAAGACGGGCUCGCGUCCCAUUAGCUAGUUGGUGAGGUAACGGCUCACCAAGGCAUCGAUGGGUAGCCGACCUGAGAGGGUGAUCGGCCACACUGGAACUGAGACACGGUCCAGACUCCUACGGGAGGCAGCAGUGGGGAAUAUUGGGCAAUGGGCGCAAGCCUGACCCAGCAACGCCGCGUGAGGGAAGAAGGCCUUCGGGUUGUAAACCUCUGUCCUUGGGGACGAAAAAAAUGACGGUACCCAAGGAGGAAGCUCCGGCUAACUACGUGCCAGCAGCCGCGGUAAUACGUAGGGAGCAAGCGUUGUCCGGAAUUACUGGGCGUAAAGGGUGCGUAGGCGGUAGGCCAAGUCAGAUGUGAAAUUCCCGGGCUCAACUCGGGGGGUGCAUUUGAAACUGGUUUACUUGAGUGCAGGAGAGGAAAGUGGAAUUCCUAGUGUAGCGGUGGAAUGCGUAGAUAUUAGGAGGAACACCAGUGGCGAAGGCGACUUUCUGGACUGUAACUGACGCUGAGGCACGAAAGCGUGGGGAGCAAACAGGAUUAGAUACCCUGGUAGUCCACGCUGUAAACGAUGGAUACUAGGUGUGGGGGAGAUACAACCUCCGUGCCGGAGCUAACGCAAUAAGUAUCCCGCC
rnacentral:rRNA from 1 species